AUUGGGCAAAAUAAAUUUGAAAGAAGCACUACAAGCGUCAAUAAAUAAUUUUUUUAUUGAUGUAUUUUGACUCUCCUCUAAAAAUGUUCUGGUUCCGCCGCUGAGUAUUAAUAUCUAAUAGAGCGUGCAUUGAUUAAACUAGGUCUGUCAAUGCACCAAAAUAUGUUGAAUUAAUGGAGGAUACAGAACAUACACGUAAAAAGAUGUUAACUGAAACGAACAAUAGUCUAAAAGAUUAGGUUUUGCUAAAGCUUAGAUCUUGGAAAAUCCAAUGAGGAUGUUUACUUUUUUGAUUAAAAUUUGUGCUUGAACUAGCCAUGGUGGUAUUAUUCGUGUCACUGAAUUCCUCUCCUUUAACAGUUUUAAUAAAACCAAAUGAGUCUACAUCCCUCAAGUCGUCUAAUUUUAGGCUGCAAUGUUGCUUGUGGAUUUGUGAUCAUCUUUUUUUGCCAAUUCUACCUCCAAUGCUCAGUGUCAGCUCUACAUCACUACACUUCUCAACGAUAUUCAUCCCACUGAGUUUCCCGGGCAUGUGAGUACUAAGUCCUGUUUGGUCUUUAUCGAUGGCACUAACAGAAAAUUUUGUAUAUAUAAUUUGUAUACAAAUGCCACUAAAAUGCCCCUAAUUAAUGAUUUCACCAAAAGGGUAUGUGAAUUUUUUCUAGUUUCUUUUAUUAGGUUUUAUGUAUUUCUUAUUUCAAAAUUUUGUUAAAGUUCAUAUUUUUCUUUACUUGAUAAUGGUUUAACAAUGCAUUUUUCUUAUAAAAAUUUAGGGAUUAGAAGGGAAACUUUUUAUUUGUCAUUUUUGAAGAAAGACAACAUGGCAUCAUAAAGCAUUGUAGAAAGCAACGAAUUUGAUAUAUUCAAAGCAAAGCAAUGUCAUUGUGGACAAUUUGCGAUUUGUAAAAUUACCCGCUUCGAUAAGAAUGGAAAUGAAGGUCUAAUCUACUAUGCUUGCCCGAAUGGAAAAUGCGAUUUAUUGGGAUGGUGCAAGGCUAUAAAUGAAGUUUUGUUUUGUUAGAAGUUGUAAUGGAGGUGAAGUUGUGAAAGAAAUUGUAAUUGACAAAGUGUAAUGGAAUUUAUAAUGACAACGCUUUCUAUUAGACAAGAGUUGAAAACUCGGAAAGUUUCUACUUACUUGUGUGUGUAUAUGUAUACAUGAGAAAAUGUUGUGCUUUUCUAUGUUGUGGUGUCUUGCCGGCAUUGGCAUUGUAUAUGGAACUCAAAUAUCUUCUUGUUGCGAAAUUAGAGCCCUAUAAAUUCUGUUAUAUACUAGUUAAGCAUCACCACCAUUAUAUGCAACACUGAAAUUUAGUACACAUUUUCUAUUCAAGGGAAAAGGUAAAAGAGGG
rnacentral:lncRNA from 1 species